rnacentral:lncRNA from 1 species
UUUUAAUACAUUUUUUCUUAGAGGCAAUUGUUGUGUGGUUUAUAUAUUUUCCAUUUGUUAAUAAGCUACUUAGAUCAGUAGUGUCGCUGGGACCCAAACUAUGGAAUUAUUUUCCAUUAAAGUUCAGGCUCUUGGAAGUGGACUUGGUAGCUACAUGGUCCCUUUCCAGUCUGGCCCCAAGCUCAGGUGGACAAGUCACACUCCCCUGGCUGCUCCCCAAGACACUGGCACCAUCUUCCCCUGUCUGUCCCCAGAUGCCCUCCCUGUAAUGACACCACCAGCACCAUAGUCUUGCUCUGUGCAGAUGUUUUGGUCAAUAAUCCCUCCCUUAAUUUACCAGGCCAAGUGAGGGUGGAUGUGGCAAGAAUAGUUUCGCCCACUGGCCUUUGCUGCCUUCCUGGGAAGAUCUGCCUCUUCUUCCGGCUCUCACAGUGGGCCCAGCAUGUUUCCAAUAUUGCAUCAGUCUUUUCCCCAACAGAGUAACGCUUUAAUGGGGCAAAUUUGUUCUCUGCACGGGAAACAUGUGGGCCCUUGUCAGGUGCUGCAUCAGAGUGAGUUGCCCUCCACCAGCUUCCUAGAUCUGGCCGUGUGAGGAGGCAGAAGGAGCCCUCUGAGACUUUGGGGACAUCUCCCAUGGUGUGGCCCCAAUCCUGUCCAUCUGAUGGUUUGUCCACCACUGAGUCCUCCCCUCUAGAGGCUGGGAGUGCCCACAUGGCCAAGGAGAAACCUCAUCCAUCCCCCUGCUCCCUCUGCAGAGAGGCCCUGCAGUAAGAGAGUCCACAGGUCUCCCCCACACUGUAUGUACAGGCGGGUAUUCAAGGCAUUCUGUGUACCAGGCUUGUGUUGGAAGCGUGGGACACAAAGGCAGAGAAGACCUAGUCCCAGUCUCUGAGAGCUAAUGAGGUGUGCUAGAUGCAUUCACGUAAAGGCAAGAUCUUCUUAUGUUGUCCAGGCUGGUCUUGGACUCCUCAGCUCAAGCUAUCUUUCUGCCUUGGUUUCCAAAGUAGCUGGGACUAUAGGCAUGCAUUAACCUGAGUUUUGAAGGAUGAGUUGGAAGAGUUCAAAUAGGACAAGCAAGUAGAGGAAACGCAGACUGGUGUGGCUACGGUGGAGGAUGCCAAGUGGGGAGGCACGAGGCUGGGUGACAAGCAGAGCCCGGCCAAGGAGGUCAGUUUUGAUUCCAAAAGCAGAGGAAACUAAACUGGAUGGUGUUACUCAGAGGAGUACACAACCUUGCUUUUAUUUUGGGAAGAUCCCCUUGGCUGUGGUAUGAAUGGACCCAAGGCGGUGGGACUGGUGGAGGAGAUGAACUAUGGGCUGGAGGGAGUUGACAGCCUGAACCGGUGGGCAGUGGGGAUGCAGAGGAGGAGGAGUGGGUUUCGGAGACAUUUUCAGGGAAGAAGGGAAAUAACAAGGGGGCUCAUUUAGUGGGGGAAAGGAGAGGAGGAAGGAAGUGAGGAAGGGACGGAAGGUCAGGGAAUUCCUGACUUGUGAGCUCUAGUUUCCCUAUGGACUAGAAUAUGAGUCACCCGGCAAGAGUGAACAUGGGGCUGGGGUGAGG